rnacentral:lncRNA from 1 species
CUCCUCUGAUGCCUGGUUGUCUUUGUCCUUCAUUUGAGUCCCUCCCAUCAGUUGCAUGUAUAUCAUUGGUCCCUACAGUGGCACUGGCUCAUGUCAUCUCUCCCUUAUCUUCUAUUGUGUAGAAAUAGUUAACAGAUAACAUUUAAGUGAACUGUUAUUUAUUUAAGGAUGAAAAUUAGGAAAUUACUUUAGAUCUCUAGUCGUUAAGUGAGGAAACUGAAGCUUUUAUUUUACUAAGUCUUUUGGGAUAAAAAUUAAGUUACUCAUUCCUUGGGGGAAAGUAUGGUGUGUAAUACUCAUCUUUUGCACUCAGCAGCUCACAAAAAUGAAAAAAGCAAUCAACAAGUAUUUCUGAAAGAAAACAUUAAACAUUCUCCAGACUUUAAUCACAUGAGGAUGGAUAGAGGAUGAGAGUUGGGAUUUAUUUUCAACUUUUCCCCCAAAAUGUCAAUAACAAAUCAUAAAACACAUACACACAUACACAUACACAUACACUUCACAUUCCCUACUUCUAAAACCAGUGCCAUCUGGAUCUGGUCCUCCCUUUCCAUUUCAGUAACAGUGAUGUACUUUUCCCCAGGCUGCCCUCCAAUGUCAUCACCUCCUCUGAUGCCUGGUUGUCUUUGUCCUUCAUUUGAGUCCCUCCCAUCAUUUGCAUGUAUAUCAUUGGUCCCUACAGUGGCACUGGCUCAUGUCAUCUCUCCCUUAUCUUCUAUUGUGUAGUCUAUUCCUUCAUCCCAUCAAAGCUCAUCUGCUAGGAGUCUUGUUUGCCUGAUUAUCCCAGUACCUCUUCCGGAUGUUUUUCCAAGCUUUACUCAUCUCUGUCUGGUCAGGGUUCAUUCUAUUUUUAGACAGCCACUCAAAGUCCACUUCUUUAAGGAGACAAUAUGAUAUAGAGAAAAGACCUUAUGACUAGGAAUCAGAUGGCCUCAAUUUUAGGCCUGGUCCUCUUGAAAAGGUGCUUUCUGAUCUGUGUCAGUCACUUAGCCUCUCUUCACCUCAUUUUUAUAUGCACUAAAUAGAGAUCUAUUCAUUCAACAGCAAAAUUAAGUUGUUUUCAGACAUUGUCCUGGGCACCAGGGCUCCAAAGAACAAUAAAACAUGGAUCUUGUCCUUAAAGAACUUUCAGUUCAGUGGGGGAACAGAGAAGAAAAUGGACAGUUGCAAUACAAGAUGACAAAAACUCAACUUUAGAAGAAAGUAAUUAGGAAAGGGAGCUAGAAGAUGUAGUUUAGCAUCUCCAAGCUCUUAUUAUUUCAUCUGCAAA